AUGGGAAAGACUAGAGAUCUCUUCAAGAAAAUCAGAAAUACCAAGGGAACAUUUCAUGCAAAGAUGGGCUUGAUAAAGGACAGAAACGGUCUGGACCUAACAGAAGCAGAAGAUAUUAAGAAGAGGUGGCAAGAAUACACAGAAGAACUCUACAAAAAACAUCUUCACGACCCAGAUAAUCAUGAUGAUGUAAUCACUCAUCUAGAGCCAGACAUCUUGGAAUGUGAAGUCAAGUGGGCCUUAGAAAGCAUUACUACGAACAAAGCUAGUGGAGGUGAUGGAAUUCCAGUUGAGCUAUUUCAAACCCUGAAAGAUGAUGCUGUGAAAGUGCUGCACUCAAUAUGCCAGCAAAUUUGGAAAACUCAGCAGUGGCCACAGGACUGGAAAAGGUCAGUUUUCAUUCCAACUCCAAAGAAAGGCAAUGCCAAAGAAUGCUCAGACUACCGCACAAUUGCGCUCAUCUCACAUGCUAGUAAAGUAAUGUUCAAAAUUCUCCAAGCCAGGCUUCAGCAAUAUGUGAACUGUGAACUCCCUAAUGUUCAAGCUGCUUUUAGAAAAGGCAGAGGAACCAGAGAUCAAAUUGCCAAUAUCUGCUGGAUCAUGGAAAAAGCAAGAGAGUUCCAGAAAAACAUCUAUUUCUGCUCUAUUGACUAUGCCAAAACCUUUGACUGUGUGGAUCACAAUAAACUGUGGAAAAUUCUGAAAGAGAUGGGAAUACCAGACCACCUAACCUGCCUCUUGAGAAAUCUGUAUGCAGGUCAGGGAGCAACAGUUAGAUCUGGACAUGGAACAACAGACUGGUUCCAAAUAGGAAAAGGAAUACAUCAAGGCUGUACAUUGUCACCCUGCUUAUUUAACUUCUAUGCAGAGUACAUCAUGAGAAACGCUGGACUGGAAGAAACACAAGCUGGAAUCAAGAUUGCCGGGAGAAAUAUCAAUCACCUCAGAUAUGUAGAUGACACCACCUUUAUGGCAGAAAGUGAAGAGGAACUAAAAAGCCUCUUGAUGAAAGUGAAAGAGGAGAGUGAAAAAGUUGGCUUAAAGCUCAACAUUCAGAAAACAAAGAUCAUGGCAUCUGGUCCCAUCACUUCAUGGGAAAUAGAUGGGGAAACAGUGGAAACAGUGUCAGACUUUAUUUUUUUGAGCUCCAAAAUCACUGCAGAUGGUGAUUGCAGCCAUGAAAUUCAAAGACGCUUACUCCUUGGAAGAAAAGUUAUGAGCAACCUAGAUAGUAUAUUCAAAAGCAGAGACCUUACUUUGCCGACUAAGGUCCAUCUAGUCAAGGCUAUGGUUUUUCCUGUGGUCAUGUAUGGAUGUGAGAGUUGGACUGUGAAGAAGGCUGAGUGCCGAAGAAUUGAUGCUUUUGCACUGUGGUGUUUGAGAAGACUCUUGAGAGUCCCUUGGACUGCAAGAUCUAACCAGUCCAUUCUGAAAGAGAUCAGCCCUGGGAUUUCUUUGGAAAAAAUGAUUCUAAAGGUGAAGCUCCAGUACUUUGGACACCUCAUGAGAAGAGUUGACUCAUUGGAAAAGACUCUGAUGCUGGGAGGGAUUUGGGGCAGGAGGAGAAGGGGACGACAGAGGAUGAGAUGGCUGGAUGGCAUCACAGACCUGAUGGACAUGAGUCUGAGUGAACUCCGGGAGAUGGUGAUGGACAGGGAGGCCUGGUGUGCUGCGAUUCAUGGGGUUGCAAAGAGUCGGACACGACUGAGCACUGAAGUGGACUGA
rnacentral:lncRNA from 1 species